CCUACACCAUCUCAAUUCUGUGUCUUCAAGGAUUCAAGUAAUUACAAUGACCAUGCAAGUGUUCUCCCCUCUCCACAGAAGAAGGCUAACCUCAAACAUUUGGUUUCCCCUUGAUUGGAAACAAGUGUGCUGAAGGCUGUCUGCUCGUUCUUCACUACACAAUGUGGACUGCUGCCUGGCUCCUGUCUGGAAACAAUUAUUUCCCUCAUGUACCUCCUGGUUCUGAACAGUCAAAGACUUAUCCC